GGCCCCCGCGCACGUGUCUCCAAGGCGACGGGCGGCGGCCAUGAGGCGGCCGAACGUGCUGAUCACCGGCACGCCGGGAGUUGGGAAAACCACGCUGGGGAAGGAGCUGGCGUCCAGAGCUGGGCUGAGCUACGUCAACGUGGGGGACCUGGCCAAGGAAGGAGAGCUCUACGAAGGCUUUGAUGAGGAGUACAACUGCCCCAUCUUGGAUGAGGACAGGGUGGUGGACGAGCUGGAGGCCAGGAUGAGCCAGGGAGGGGUGAUUGUGGAUUACCACGGCUGCGACUUCUUCCCCGAGCGCUGGUUCCACAUCGUGUUCGUGCUGCGCACAGACAACUCCUGUCUGUAUGACAGGCUGGAGAGCAGGGGCUACACGGGCAAGAAGCUGCAGGACAACAUUCAGUGCGAAAUUUUUCAGACUCUGUAUGAGGAAGCUGUGUUGUCCUAUAAAAAGGAAAUUGUACACCAGUUACCCAGCAACACUCCAGAGGACCUAGAGAGAAAUUUGGAUCAGAUUAUGCAAUGGAUUGAGCAAUGGAUGAAGGACAACAACUGACUUUUGGUGAAACAGUAACUGCUGGAUCUCUUCUUGGGAGGGAGGGUUUAGUAAAUGAUAUUUAUAUUUCUUGUAUUGUAAAUGAACAUGAAUUUUGUUGUAACUGGCUGGGAAGUAGAAGAAGGUUGAGAGUAGCCAGGUUGUGAGGAUUUGUAACAGCUCUGAGAGGCAACAGAACUGCUACAAUGACAGAAAGGAUGAAAAUGAGGCGGCUGUCCUGAGAAGCAGGAGCUGUGUUCAGUGUCUGAGAAUUCUUUAGACUUUACAAUUGAAACCAAACUGUGAAUUCCCUGUGGGAAGACUGUAAAAUCCUGAUAACAGUGGCAGUUGAGGCACUUUUGAUUUCCAGAGUGUGGAACAGUGUCCUGGAAAGGAGUUGGUUUGAUGCUGAGCUGUGGGACUAGCACCUGCUGGGCUCCACUGCGGUCGUGCGAGGACAAUGCAGAGUGAGAGGGGUUGGGGCAGGUCAUGGGAAGAUUGCCCAGGAAAUGCAUGCCUUGUGAGGACAGAGCCGCAGGGAUCCGAGGGGUCUCAGGUGCAGCAGGAUCUGUUCUGAGUGCUGUUAGAGCCUGGGCCCCAGGGGGCAGGGCUGCACAAGGAAGAGGAAACCUUUCCUCAGAGAAAAGCUGCUUGGAAAGAAGGCCUUGGGAAAGAUUCCGUCGGAAGUGCUUGCUUAUAAACCCCUUGUAUACACGAGUUUGGGUAGUAAAACAAAUUUCUUGAAAAA